rnacentral:rRNA from 1 species
AGAUUGAACGCUAGCGGGAUGCUUUACACAUGCAAGUCGAACGGCAGCGCGGACUUCGGUCUGGCGGCGAGUGGCGAACGGGUGAGUAAUAUAUCGGAACGUGCCCAGUAGCGGGGGAUAACUACGCGAAAGCGUGGCUAAUACCGCAUACGCCCUGCGGGGGAAAGGGGGGGAUUCUUCGGAACCUCUCACUAUUGGAGCGGCCGAUAUCAGAUUAGCUAGUUGGUGAGGUAAAGGCUCACCAAGGCGACGAUCUGUAGCUGGUUUGAGGAGGGCGACGAGCCACGACGUGGACUGAGACACGGCCCAGACCUCCGUACGGGAGGCAGCUAGGUAGGGGUAAUUUUGGGACAAGUACGGGGGAAACCCUGAACUCC